UUUAUGAAGAGUUUGAUCCUGGCUCAGGAUUAACGCUGGCGGUGUGUCUAAUACAUGCAAGUCGCGCGAGGGUUCGACCCGAGCGGCGGACGAGCGAGUAACACGUUGGAACCUGCCCCAAACUCAGGGAUAACACCUAGAAAUAGGUGCUAAUACCGGAUAGUCUCGUAAGAGUAAAGCUACGGCGGUUUGGGAGGGGCCUGCGGCCUAUCAGCUAGUUGGUAAGGUAACGGCUUACCAAGGCUAUGACGGGUAACUGGUCUGAGAGGACGACCAGUCGCGAUGGGACUGAGAUACGGCCCAUACUCCUACGGGAGGCAGCAGUAAGGAAUCUUCCGCAAUGGACGAAAGUCUGACGGAGCAACACCGCGUGGUUGAUGAAGCCCUUUGGGGUGUAAAGACCUUUUCUGAGAGACGAAUUCUGACGGUAUCUUAGGAAUAAGCACCGGCUAACUCUGUGCCAGCAGCCGCGGUAAUACAGAGGGUGCAAGCGUUAUCCGGAAUCAUUGGGCGUAAAGCGUUUGUAGGUGGAUUGUUAAGUUGGGUGUUAAAUUUUGCAGCUCAACUGCAAAACUGUGCUCAAAACUGGCAAACUAGAGUAUUGCAGGGGUACGUGGAAUUCUGUGUGUAGGGGUAAAAUCCGUAGAUACACAGAGGAACACCAAAAGCGAAAGCAGCGUACUGGGCAAUUACUGACACUCAAAAACGAAAGCGUGGGGAGCAAACGGGAUUAGAUACCCCGGUAGUCCACGCCCUAAACGAUGGAUACUAGGUGUUGGGGGACUCGACCCCCUCAGUGCCGACGUUAACACAUUAAGUAUCCCGCCUGGGGACUACGGUCGCAAGAUUAAAACUCAAAGGAAUAGACGGGGACCCACACAAGCGGUGGAGCAUGUGGUUUAAUUCGAUGGUAAACGGGGAACCUCACCCAGACUUGACAUCUUCCGAAUCCUCCGGAAACGGGGGAGUGCCGCAAGGAACGGAAAGACAGGUGCUGCAUGGUUGUCGUCAGCUCGUGCCUUGAGGUGUUCGGUUAAGUCCGUGAACGAGCGCAACCCUUGUCCUGUGUUGCAUUUUCACAGGAGACUGCCGGCUUUAAGUCGGAGGAAGGCAAGGAUGACGUCAAAUCAGCAUGGCCCUUAUGUCUGGGGCCACACACGUGCUACAAUGGCCGGUACAAAAGGCAGCAAUCCCGCAAGGGGGAGCCAAUCCAAAAAACCGGUCUCAGUUCGGAUUGAGGGCUGCAACUCGCCCUCAUGAAGUUGGAAUCGCUAGUAACCGCGCAUCAGCCAUGGUGCGGUGAAUACGUUCCUGGGUCUUGUACUCACCGCCCGUCACACUAUGAAAGGUGGGGGUGCCCGAAGUACCGUUAUCUUUACGGAGCGGUCCUAAGGCAAAACCACUGAUUGGAGUGAAGUCGUAACAAGGUAUCCGUAGGAGAACCUGCGGAUGGAUCACCUCCUUU
rnacentral:rRNA from 1 species